UUGUAUCACCGUGGUGCUUUGUGAGAAACACAGUUCGUGUGGCAAGCCCACCGUAAGAACUGGAUGGGUCACAACGAUUUUCAGUGACAGCCUCUAGGAGACACUGUCUGAAGAUUUCCCAGUUGAAUCCCCAGACUGGUCAUAACUUGACACAAAGCAAUUCUGCUUUUAUUAAAAGGCAAAUUUUCCACUGAAGAAGAUUCUAGUGGAAAAUUUCAAGCAGUCCCCAAGGAACUUCUUUCCAACCCCUUUUGCGCUGUAGUUUAAUCUUGCUUCUGUUAGACUUCUCUGUCUCUGUUUAAUCUCUGAUAACAGAGAGAGAGCUCCCUUCCAAACAAACACGUGACCAGAAGCUGACAUACAUUACCAACAACAUAUGGAAAAGUUUGUACCUUUCUGAGCAGGCAGAUUUACAAGGUGAGCUCUCAUAAGCCCCUAAAGAGAGGAAGAUGCUUCCCUGUCUUUUGUAUGUUUUAGCAAUGAAAUAAAACUCCUUUCAGAUCUAAAGCCAGCAAAUAAAGAUCUCCUCUUUCUUUACAUUUCUUUACAGAGGGUUUUGAACCUCUGUACUGCUCUCAGCUUUUUUCUUUCUUCUUAACUCAUUUUGGGAUAAUAUGCCAAACUGCUUGAGCUGGAUCUCUCUCCCUCCCUUUCCUUUCUCUACCUUUCCAUCUGUCUCUCCAGGAGCAGUACAAGAGCACUGUGCUGUAGCCAUGGACCACCCGCUGACCGGACAUCUCAGAUGCUCUCCAACAGUUUACUUUUACAGCCUGUACUGCAAAAGCCAACAUCAGCAUCAUUUAGUAAGUUUGCAGAGAGAUGUAACUUCUCAUCUUCAACACAACUAGACUUGAUGUGAGGAGCAGCAAAAAGGGAGAGUUCAACAGUGUUCAGGACCAUAUUGCUUAGUGACAUUCCCAUACAAUCCAAGAGAUUUCAAGAGCAUCUGGCAAAGCUGAUAAUGAGCAGUACUGUAGGAAGAGAAACUUGGAGAAAUUGAGGCACAGUCUUACCGGGCUAUGCUCUAACCUCAAGACUGGUGUCAGAGCAGGAGAGACUCCAACUCCUUUCACCCGAGUGGGUAGCAGUAGCCAAAAUUUCUUCAGUGUUUCUUCCAUGGCAUGCCUCCAAGUGGAGUCCUCAUAACAAAGCUGGACUAAUAUCCCAAAGUAAGUGCAGAUACCCUCAGUGCAGUCUGUAAUUAUUCUCUCUGCUGCCUGGCUGCCCUCUCCCCUGCCUUCCCUCUGGGCCUGGACACCUGUGUUGUACUGUGAUUGCCUCUUCAUUUAUGGCAAACAAGUCUGGAUUCUCCCCUUGUAUAUUUUUUAAGGAAUUUUGAACAAAUCUGGUUUCUUUUUUCUCUCUUUU